CUGAACUGGUAGGAGAACAGUAUUAUCUCUUUUCUAUCCCUGCUUAGAACUAUUAAUUUAACUCAUCUUCUCCCAUUGACUUAAAUCUGAUCCAGCUGACGAGUGACUUAACUCUGAAACAUCCUACAUUUCAUAAUGCAAAGUUUUGCACUUUUUUUUUAACUUGUCAACUUUACUUGAAAUUAUUUGUUGCUGCUGGAUUUACUAAGAUGGCUGUUAUCAAGCCAGAUUUGAAAUGAUCGGAAAUGCAAGAGAAUUACAGGCGUGGAGAAGAGACUUACGGGGCUUAUUCUGGGAUUUCAUGGCAUUCGUGCAAGGCUGAUAUGCACAGCAAAAGUCUGGAAAUACAGGUUGUAUUUAUGCGUUU